UGUACUUUCGACUUAGAAGUUUCCGCGAAAGGAAAGUUACGUGAUAUUCAGGUGUGAAAAAAAAUGCAAUAUGGCGUCGAGAAGUAAGUUGGUGCAAGAAAUGUUUGCGGAAUUAGAGCUUCCGAGCAAGUUGCUCCAAGUAUUGAAAAUUUAAGAAGCUGGACCGUCUUCUGACGAUAACGGAGGACCAGUUCAGCGAGGGCUUGGAACAACUGGACGACUAAGAUUUUGCGUCAAAAUCCUUAGAUUUGGAAUUAUCCAAUCUUGGAGGACCCGAAAGAAAGCAACAGUACGUACACUGCAUUUCAUCGACCAAGCGGAUAUCCCGAAGCUACUUUGUUGCACACAAAAACCAGCAGUCCGUCAAAGGAACAGUUACCGCUGAACUUACCAGUUUCCCUGACGAAGGCCUUUCCGAUACGAGGUGAAGGUGCAAUAGUGAUUCAGCAUCCAACAACGCUUGCAUCGGCAGCAUAGAAUUUGAAGGCGUAUUUUCUAGUUUGAAUUACAAACGCAGAUGGAGCCAACGGUUCGAAUCGCCCACCAGCGCGCACAAGUUAACUGUGUAACAGUGAUCGAACACCCUUCUGAGUCGACAUCGGUAACAACGGACGCAUGUUCCGGACAGCGUACGAUAUCGACUUGACCCGGUUGCGUCGGAAACAGGAACAUCUCCAAAAUCAGGAAACGGCGCAGCAGAAAUCGAUAAUUUAUUUAUUACUUAAUUAUUUACUCUAAAAUAAAAUGCUGAUAAAGA